CUCGUAGGUGGUUUGUCGCGUCGUUUGUGUAAGCCCGCAGCUUAACUGCGGGACUGCAGGCGAUACGGGCAUAACUUGAGUGCUGUAGGGGAGACUGGAAUUCCUGGUGUAGCGGUGGAAUGCGCAGAUAUCAGGAGGAACACCGAUGGCGAAGGCAGGUCUCUGGGCAGUAACUGACGCUGAGGAGCGAAAGCAUGGGGAGCGAACA
rnacentral:rRNA from 1 species